CCAUAUUGGGGUUAUAGGGUCCAUAUUGGGGUUAUAGGGUCCAUAUUGGGGUUAUAGGGUUUAUAGGGUCUUAUAGGGUCCAUAUUGGGAUUAUAGGGUUUAUAGGGUCGUAUUAUGGGAUGGAAUCCCACCAGUUCAGUCCACGUUUGAGUCCGUUGUUUUCCAGGGAUUAUGGGGUCAAUAUUGGGGUCAAUAUUGGUCUUAUAGGGUCCAUAUUGGGGUUAUAGGGUUUAUAGGGUUUAUAGGGUCGUAUAGGGUCAUAUUAUGGGAUGGAAUCCCAUCAAUUCAGUCCACAUUUGAGUCCAUUUUUUGUGUCCUUAUUCCGAUUUCCAUGACCCGAAAUAGGGAUUUUGGGGUCAAUAUUGGGGUCCAUAUUGGUCUUAUAGGGUCGAUAUGGGGUUAUAGGGUUAUAGGGUUUAUAGGGUCUUAUGGGGUCAUAUUAUGGGAUGGAAUCCCAUCCAUUCAGUCCACGUUUGAGUCCUUGUUGAUGACUUUAGGCCGAUUUCCAGGCAUUAUGGGGUCAAUACUGGGGUCCAUAUCGGGUUUAUAGGGUCCAUAUAGGGCUUAUAGGGUUUA
rnacentral:lncRNA from 1 species